rnacentral:rRNA from 1 species
GAUUAAGUUAUUAAGGGCGCACGGUGGAUGCCUUGGCACUAGAAGCCGAUGAAGGACGUUACUAACGACGAUAUGCUUUGGGGAGCUGUAAGUAAGCUUUGAUCCAGAGAUUUCCGAAUGGGGAAACCCAGCAUGAGUUAUGUCAUGUUAUCGAUAUGUGAAUACAUAGCAUAUCAGAAGGCACACCCGGAGAACUGAAACAUCUUAGUACCCGGAGGAAGAGAAAGAAAAUUCGAUUCCCUUAGUAGCGGCGAGCGAAACGGAAGAGCCCAAACCAACAAGCUUGCUUGUUGGGGUUGUAGGACACUCUAUACGGAGUUACAAAGGACGACAUUAGACGAAUCAUCUGGAAAGAUGAAUCAAAGAAGGUAAUAAUCCUGUAGUCGAAAAUGUUGUCUCUCUUGAGUGGAUCCUGAGUACGACGGAGCACGUGAAAUUCCGUCGGAAUCUGGGAGGACCAUCUCCUAAGGCUAAAUACUCUCUAGUGACCGAUAGUGAACCAGUACCGUGAGGGAAAGGUGAAAAGCACCCCGGAAGGGGAGUGAAAUAGAACCUGAAACCGUGUGCUUACAAGUAGUCAGAGCCCGUUAAUGGGUGAUGGCGUGCCUUUUGUAGAAUGAACCGGCGAGUUACGAUUUGAUGCAAGGUUAAGCAGUAAAUGUGGAGCCGUAGCGAAAGCGAGUCUGAAUAGGGCGUUUAGUAUUUGGUCGUAGACCCGAAACCAGGUGAUCUACCCUUGGUCAGGUUGAAGUUCAGGUAACACUGAAUGGAGGACCGAACCGACUUACGUUGAAAAGUGAGCGGAUGAACUGAGGGUAGCGGAGAAAUUCCAAUCGAACCUGGAGAUAGCUGGUUCUCUCCGAAAUAGCUUUAGGGCUAGCCUCAAGUGAUGAUUAUUGGAGGUAGAGCACUGUUUGGACGAGGGGCCCCUCUCGGGUUACCGAAUUCAGACAAACUCCGAAUGCCAAUUAAUUUAACUUGGGAGUCAGAACAUGGGUGAUAAGGUCCGUGUUCGAAAGGGAAACAGCCCAGACCACCAGCUAAGGUCCCAAAAUAUAUGUUAAGUGGAAAAGGAUGUGGCGUUGCCCAGACAACUAGGAUGUUGGCUUAGAAGCAGCCAUCAUUUAAAGAGUGCGUAAUAGCUCACUAGUCGAGUGACACUGCGCCGAAAAUGUACCGGGGCUAAACAUAUUACCGAAGCUGUGGAUUGUCCUUUGGACAAUGGUAGGAGAGCGUUCUAAGGGCGUUGAAGCAUGAUCGCAAGGACAUGUGGAGCGCUUAGAAGUGAGAAUGCCGGUGUGAGUAGCGAAAGACGGGUGAGAAUCCCGUCCACCGAUUGACUAAGGUUUCCAGAGGAAGGCUCGUCCGCUCUGGGUUAGUCGGGUCCUAAGCUGAGGCCGACAGGCGUAGGCGAUGGAUAACAGGUUGAUAUUCCUGUACCACCUAUAAUCGUUUUAAUCGAUGGGGGGACGCAGUAGGAUAGGCGAAGCGUGCGAUUGGAUUGCACGUCUAAGCAGUAAGGCUGAGUAUUAGGCAAAUCCGGUACUCGUUAAGGCUGAGCUGUGAUGGGGAGAAGACAUUGUGUCUUCGAGUCGUUGAUUUCACACUGCCGAGAAAAGCCUCUAGAUAGAAAAUAGGUGCCCGUACCGCAAACCGACACAGGUAGUCAAGAUGAGAAUUCUAAGGUGAGCGAGCGAACUCUCGUUAAGGAACUCGGCAAAAUGACCCCGUAACUUCGGGAGAAGGGGUGCUCUUUAGGGUUAACGCCCAGAAGAGCCGCAGUGAAUAGGCCCAAGCGACUGUUUAUCAAAAACACAGGUCUCUGCUAAACCGUAAGGUGAUGUAUAGGGGCUGACGCCUGCCCGGUGCUGGAAGGUUAAGAGGAGUGGUUAGCUUCUGCGAAGCUACGAAUCGAAGCCCCAGUAAACGGCGGCCGUAACUAUAACGGUCCUAAGGUAGCGAAAUUCCUUGUCGGGUAAGUUCCGACCCGCACGAAAGGCGUAACGAUUUGGGCACUGUCUCAACGAGAGACUCGGUGAAAUCAUAGUACCUGUGAAGAUGCAGGUUACCCGCGACAGGACGGAAAGACCCCGUGGAGCUUUACUGUAGCCUGAUAUUGAAAUUCGGCACAGCUUGUACAGGAUAGGUAGGAGCCUUUGAAACGUGAGCGCUAGCUUACGUGGAGGCGCUGGUGGGAUACUACCCUAGCUGUGUUGGCUUUCUAACCCGCACCACUUAUCGUGGUGGGAGACAGUGUCAGGCGGGCAGUUUGACUGGGGCGGUCGCCUCCUAAAAGGUAACGGAGGCGCUCAAAGGUUCCCUCAGAAUGGUUGGAAAUCAUUCAUAGAGUGUAAAGGCAUAAGGGAGCUUGACUGCGAGACCUACAAGUCGAGCAGGGUCGAAAGACGGACUUAGUGAUCCGGUGGUUCCGCAUGGAAGGGCCAUCGCUCAACGGAUAAAAGCUACCCCGGGGAUAACAGGCUUAUCUCCCCAAGAGUUCACAUCGACGGGGAGGUUUGGCACCUCGAUGUCGGCUCAUCGCAUCCUGGGGCUGUAGUCGGUCCCAAGGGUUGGGCUGUUCGCCCAUUAAAGCGGUACGCGAGCUGGGUUCAGAACGUCGUGAGACAGUUCGGUCCCUAUCCGUCGUGGGCGUAGGAAAUUUGAGAGGAGCUGUCCUUAGUACGAGAGGACCGGGAUGGACAUACCUCUGGUGUACCAGUUGUCGUGCCAACGGCAUAGCUGGGUAGCUAUGUGUGGACGGGAUAAGUGCUGAAAGCAUCUAAGCAUGAAGCCCCCCUCAAGAUGAGAUUUCCCAACUUCGGUUAUAAGAUCCCUCAAAGAUGAUGAGGUUAAUAGGUUCGAGGUGGAAGCAUGGUGACAUGUGGAGCUGACGAAUACUAAUCGAUCGAAGACUUAAUCAA